AGCAGCCGCGGUAAUUCCAGCUCCAAUAGCGUAUAUUAAAGUUGUUGCAGUUAAAAAGCUCGUAGUUGAAUUUCGAGACCGGCUUACUGGUCGUGCUUUUGUACGUACUGGUAUAAUCGGUUUCUCCUUUCUGACGAACUAUAAUGCCAUUAAUUUGGUGUUAUAGGGAAUCAGGACUGUUACUUUGAAAAAAUUAGAGUGUUUAAAGCAGGCUCACGCUUGAAUACAUUAGCAUGGAAUAACGGAAUAGGACGUUUGAUUCUAUUUUGUUGGUUUCUAGGAUCGACGUAAUGAUUAAUAGGGAUAGUUGGGGGCAUUAGUAUUCAAUUGUCAGAAGUGAAAUUCUUGGAUUUAUUGAAGACUAACUACUGCGAAAGCAUUUGCCAAGGAUGUUUUCAUUAAUCAAGAACGAAAGUUAGGGGAUCGAAGACGAUCAGAUACCGUCGUAGUCUUAACCAUAAACUAUGCCGACUAGGGAUCGGAUGAUGUAAUUUUUAAUGACUCAUUCGGCGCCUUACGG
rnacentral:rRNA from 1 species